UUGAUCAAUGGGGAAGUACUGCAUUUGAGAGAAAAGCUCCAUUUCCGGCCUCGCUUCAGAAUCGGAAUACAAUUCGACGCACUCAGGGAAGAAAAUGGUGAACAAGCUGAGUAUGAAAUCAAGUUGUAGCAACAUUUACUCUUUAAACUUGAAGGUAUUUUGGAGAUGUCGGUUUGAACAA